rnacentral:RNase_P_RNA from 1 species
GCAGCGGAGCAGGUGAUCGCCGGCGGGUUUCCGCGGGAGGAAAGUCCGAGCUCCGCAGGGCAGGGUGCCGGGUAACGCCCGGUGAGGGUGACCUCGAGGAGAGUGCAACAGAGAGAAACCGCCGGCUCGAAGGUGCCCUCGUGGUGCUCGUCCAGUCGGUAAGGGUGAAACGGUGGGGUAAGAGCCCACCGCACCUCCGGUAACGGAGGUGGCUAGGCAAACCCCACCCGGUGCAAGGCCGUGUAGGGAGGCGAUGGGACCGCAAGGUCCCGAGAGGACGGCCCGUCCGAUGCCUCCGGGUUGGCUGCUGGAGGCACGUAGCAAUGCGUGCCCUAGAGGAAUGAUCGCCGACGCUCUCGGGGGUGACCCCGGAGCGAGACAGAACUCGGCUUAUGAGCCGCUGCGACC